rnacentral:rRNA from 1 species
UACGGAGGGGGCUAGCGUUGUUCGGAAUUACUGGGCGUAAAGCGCACGUAGGCGGCUUUGUAAGUUAGAGGUGAAAGCCCGGGGCUCAACUCCGGAAUUGCCUUUAAGACUGCAUCGCUAGAAUUGUGGAGAGGUAAGUGGAAUUCCGAGUGUAGAGGUGAAAUUCGUAGAUAUUCGGAAGGAACACCCAGUGGCGAAGGCGACUUACUGGACACAUAUUGACGCUGAGGUGCGAAAGCGUGGGGAGCAAACAGG